rnacentral:rRNA from 1 species
UAGAGUUUGAUCCUGGCUCAGAUUGAACGCUGGCGGCAGGCUUAACACAUGCAAGUCGAACGGUAACAGGAAGCAGCUUGCUGCUUUGCUGACGAGUGGCGGACGGGUGAGUAAUGUCUGGGAAACUGCCUGAUGGAGGGGGAUAACUACUGGAAACGGUAGCUAAUACCGCAUAACGUCGCAAGACCAAAGUGGGGGACCUUCGGGCCUCAUGCCAUCAGAUGUGCCCAGAUGGGAUUAGCUAGUAGGUGGGGUAAUGGCUCACCUAGGCGACGAUCCCUAGCUGGUCUGAGAGGAUGACCAGCCACACUGGAACUGAGACACGGUCCAGACUCCUACGGGAGGCAGCAGUGGGGAAUAUUGCACAAUGGGCGCAAGCCUGAUGCAGCCAUGCCGCAUGUAUGAAGAAGGCCUUCGGGUUGUAAAGUACUUUCAGCGAGGAGGAAGGCAUUAAGGUUAAUAACCUUAGUGAUUGACGUUACUCGCAGAAGAAGCACCGGCUAACUCCGUGCCAGCAGCCGCGGUAAUACGGAGGGUGCAAGCGUUAAUCGGAAUUACUGGGCGUAAAGCGCACGCAGGCGGUCUGUUAAGUCAGAUGUGAAAUCCCCGGGCUCAACCUGGGAACUGCAUUUGAAACUGGCAGGCUUGAGUCUCGUAGAGGGGGGGUAGAAUUCCAGGUGUAGCGGUGAAAUGCGUAGAGAUCUGGAGGAAUACCGGUGGCGAAAGCGGCCCCCUGCACGAAGACUGACGCUCAGGUGCGAAAGCGUGGGG